UCAGGACGAACGCUGGCGGCAUGCCUAACACAUGCAAGUCGAACGGGGGUGGCAAUACCCUAGUGGCGAACGGGUGAGUAACACAUAAGCAAUCUGCCCUUCACCAGGGGGAUAACAGCGGGAAACUGCUGCUAAUACCGCAUAAGACCACGGUACCGCAUGGUACAGGGGUAAAAACGAAUCAGUGGUGAAGGAUGAGCUUAUGUCCCAUUAGCUAGUUGGUGAGAUAACAGCCCCACCAAGGCGACGAUGGGUAGCCGACCUGAGAGGGUGAUCGGCCACACUGGAACUGAGACACGGUCCAGACUCCUACGGGAGGCAGCAGUGGGGAAUAUUGGGCAAUGGAGGAAAAACCUCUUACCCAGCAAUGCCGCGUGAGUGAAGAAGGUCUUCGGAUUGUAAAGCUCUUUGAUUGGGGACGAAGAAAGUGACGGUACCCAAAGAACAAGCCCCGGCUAACUACGUGCCAGCCGCUGC
rnacentral:rRNA from 1 species